rnacentral:lncRNA from 1 species
GUUCGCCUCCAGAAUGGUCUUGAAUGUGGUGGUGCAUAUCUGAAAUACCUGCGGCCUCAGGAGGCAGGUUGGGUAUCCAAGGAGUUUGACAACGAAUCUCCGUAUAUGAUUAUGUUUGGACCUGAUAAAUGUGGUGCCACAAACAAGGUGCACUUCAUCUUAAAGCAUAAGAAUCCCAAGAGUGGAGAGUACAUUGAACACCAUCUCAAGAACCCACCUUCUGUGCCCUCUGAUAAACUGACUCAUGUAUACACUGCCAUCUUGAAACCUGAUAAUGAGUUGAGAAUUUUAAUUGAUGGAGAGGAGAAGCAGAAGGCAAAUUUCCUCGCUGCUGAUGAUUUUCAGCCACCGCUCAUUCCUGAGAAGACAAUUCCUGAUCCAGAUGACAAGAAGCCUGAGGAUUGGGAUGAGAGGGCAAAGAUUCCUGACCCUGAUGCAGUAAAACCUGACGACUGGGAUGAGGAUGCUCCGAUGGAAAUUGAAGAUGAGGAUGCUGUGAAACCUGAAGGAUGGCUGGAUGAUGAGCCUGAGGAGAUAGAUGACCCUGAGGCCACAAAACCUGAGGAUUGGGAUGAUGAGGAGGAUGGUGAAUGGGAGGCCCCAAAGAUUGAUAACCCAAAGUGUGAAGCAGCCCCUGGAUGCGGCGAGUGGAAGAGGCCAAUGAAGAGGAAUCCUGCCUACAAGGGCAAAUGGCAUGCUCCACUUAUU